rnacentral:rRNA from 1 species
CCUACGGGAGACAGCAGUGAGGAAUAUUGGUCAAUGGCCGGAAGGCUGAACCAGCCAUGCCGCGUGAAGGUCAGUGCCCUAUGGGCGUUAAACUUCUUUUGUGCGGGAGCAAUAAUGGUCACGUGUGGCCAGACGAGAGUACCGUACGAAUAAGCAUCGGCUAACUCCGUGCCAGCAGCCGCGGUAAUACGGGGGAUGCAAGCGUUAUCCGGAUUUAUUGGGUUUAAAGGGUGCGUAGGCUGGGAGGUAAGUCAGCGGUGAAAUGCCCCCGCUCAACGGGUGGAAGUGCCAUUGAUACUGCCUGGCUGGAAUGCGGAUGCCGUGGGAGGAAUGUGUGGUGUAGCGGUGAAAUGCAUAGAUAUCACACAGAACACCGAUUGCGAAGGCAUCUCACGAAUCCGCGAUUGACGCUGAUGCACGAAAGCGUGGGUAUCAAACAGGAUUAGAUACCCUAGUAGUC